rnacentral:rRNA from 1 species
UAGGGAAUCUUCGGCAAUGGACGAAAGUCUGACCGAGCAACGCCGCGUGAGUGAAGAAGGUUUUCGGAUCGUAAAACUCUGUUGUUAGAGAAGAACAAGGACGUUAGUAACUGAACGUCCCCUGACGGUAUCUAACCAGAAAGCCACGGCUAACUACGUGCCAGCAGCCGCGGUAAUACGUAGGUGGCAAGCGUUGUCCGGAUUUAUUGGGCGUAAAGCGAGCGCAGGCGGUUUCUUAAGUCUGAUGUGAAAGCGCCCGGCUCAACCGGGGAGGGUCAUUUGAAACUGGGAGACUAGGGUGCAGAAGAGUAGAGUGGAAUUCCAUGUGUAGCGGUGAAAUGCGUAGAUAUAUGGAAGAACACCAGUGGCGAAGGCGGCUCUCUGGUCUGUAACUGACGCUGAGGCUCGAAAGCGUGGGGAGCAAACAGG